AUUGAACGCUGGCGGCAUGCCUUACACAUGCAAGUCGAACGGUAACAGGUCUUCGGAUGCUGACGAGUGGCAAACGGGUGAGUAAUACAUCGGAACGUGCCUAGUAGUGGGGGAUAACUACUCGAAAGAGUGGCUAAUACCGCAUGAGAUCUACGGAUGAAAGCAGGGGAUCGCAAGACCUUGUGCUACUAGAGCGGCCGAUGGCAGAUUAGGUAGUUGGUGGGAUAAAAGCUUACCAAGCCGACGAUCUGUAGCUGGUCUGAGAGGACGAUCAGCCACACUGGGACUGAGACACGGCCCAGCCUCCUACGGGAGGCAGCCGUGGGGAAUUUUGGACAAUGGGCGAAAGCCUGAUCCAGCAAUGCCGCGUGCAGGAUGAAGGCCUUCGGGUUGUAAACUGCUUUUGUACGGAACGAAAAGCCCCGGGUUAAUACCCUGGGGUCAUGACGGUACCGUAAGAAUAAGCACCGGCUAACUACGUGCCAGCCGCCGCCGUAA
rnacentral:rRNA from 1 species